UACAGAGGGUGCAAGCGUUAAUCGGAAUUACUGGGCGUAAAGCGUGCGCAGGCGGUUAUUCAAGACAGAGGGGAAAUCCCCGGGCUUAACCUGGGAACUGCGCUUGUAACUGGCAAGCUUGAGUGUGGCAGAGGGGGGUGGAAUUCCACGUGUAGCAGUGAAAUGCGUAGAGAUGUGGAGGAACACCGAUGGCGAAGGCAGCCCCCUGGGCUAACACUGACGCUCAUGCACGAAAGCGUGGGGAGCAAACAGG
rnacentral:rRNA from 1 species